GUUAUUCUUGAUUUGUGUAUUAUUGAUCUUUGAAGUGACGCUGUGAUGAGUUUGAAUUAUAUUUAAAGAUCUUCAUCUUGGUGCCGUACGACUUUGUCAAAGUCAUUGAUUGUCUAUGAUGUAUGUUACAAAUUUCAUUGUUCCCAUAAUUUGGCGAUACUAAGACAACAUGUAAGGAAGGGCAAUGAUGUCAAAGAUUGCGGAUCUUAGGUUUAUACCGAUGAGGAAAAUAGAGUGGUACAUAUCAGUUAUUCGAAGAAUUGUUUUGUUAUUAUAGAGAAAAGUCUUUCAAGUUU
rnacentral:lncRNA from 1 species